UACGUAGGGUGCAAGCGUUAUCCGGAAUUAUUGGGCGUAAAGAGCUCGUAGGCGGUUUGUCGCGUCUGCUGUGAAAACUGGAGGCUCAACCUCCAGCCUGCAGUGGGUACGGGCAAACUAGAGUGCGGUAGGGGAGAUUGGAAUUCCUGGUGUAGCGGUGGAAUGCGCAGAUAUCAGGAGGAACACCGAUGGCGAAGGCAGAUCUCUGGGCCGUAACUGACGCUGAGGAGCGAAAGCCAGGGGAGCAAACGGG
rnacentral:rRNA from 1 species